rnacentral:rRNA from 1 species
UACGUAGGGUGCGAGCGUUAAUCGGAAUUACUGGGCGUAAAGCGUGCGCAGGCGGUUUGCUAAGACCGAUGUGAAAUCCCCGGGCUUAACCUGGGAACUGCAUUGGUGACUGGCAGGCUAGAGUAUGGCAGAGGGGGGGUAGAAUUCCACGUGUAGCAGUGAAAUGCGUAGAGAUGUGGAGGAAUACCGAUGGCGAAGGCAGCCCCCUGGGCCAAUACGUGACGCUCAUGCACGAAAGCGUGGGGAGCAAACAGG